GCUGGGUGCAGUGGUGCACACCUGUAAUCCCAGCAACUUGGGAGGCUGAGGCAGGAGGAUCUCGACUUCAAAGCUAGCGAUUAAGGGAGACCCUCAGCAACUCACUGAGACUUUAUCUCUA
rnacentral:sRNA from 1 species